GAUGAACGCUGGCGGCGUGCCUAAUACAUGCAAGUCGAGCGAAGGGACGAGAAGCGUGCGGCACGGAUGUUAGCGGCGGACGUGUGAGGAACACGUGGAGAACCUACCUAUAAGACUGGUAUAACUUCUGGAAACCGGAGCUAAUACCGGAUAAUAGUUUGAAGCGCAUGGUUCAAAAAGGAAAGACGGUCGUGCUGUCACUUAUAGAUGGAUCUGCGCUGCAUUAGCUAGUUGGUAAGGUAAGGGCCUACCAAGGCAACGAUGCACAGCCGACCUGUGAGGGUGAUAGGCCACCUUGGAACUGAGCCACCGUCACGACUACUACGGGAGGCAGCAGUAGGGAAUCUUACGCAGUGGGGGAAAGCCUGGCGGAGCAACGCCGAGUGAGUCAUGACGGUCUUCGGAUCGUAAAACUGUGUUAUUAGGGAAGAACAUAUGUGUAAGUAAAUGUGCCCAUCUUGACGGUACCUACUCAGAAAGCCACGGCUAACUACGUG
rnacentral:rRNA from 1 species